rnacentral:rRNA from 1 species
CGGGACGGGUGAGUAAUGUCUGGGAAACUGCCUGAUGGAGGGGGAUAACUACUGGAAACGGUAGCUAAUACCGCAUAACGUCGCAAGACCAAAGAGGGGGACCUUCGGGCCUCUUGCCAUCGGAUGUGCCCAGAUGGGAUUAGCUAGUAGGUGGGGUAACGGCUCACCUAGGCGACGAUCCCUAGCUGGUCUGAGAGGAUGACCAGCCACACUGGAACUGAGACACGGUCCAG